AUCUUAUUCUUGACUACUGUAGAACACACAAGAUAUUUGUGAUUGGACUGGAAGAAGAUUUUUUGCUAUUUUCAAAUCCUGCGAUUGAAAUUUGGUGUCAAGAUAUUUUUGAUUACUUCCUUUAAGGAUACUUGUUACACUGAGAUUCUUCCCCACAUUCAAAAGUCCAAAAGAGCUCAAUUGAAGAAAAAAACCAACAAGCCCAAGAGACCUUCUAUUCAGUCAUUAUUUGGUACACUCUUCUUUAACUAGAAUUGCCUGACUGAAUAUGUUUAUUUCAAUAUGUAUCUACACUCUCAUAACUCUUAUUUCCAUGUUUUUCCCCCAUAACUCUUAAUCUGUUUUGAGUUCUGAUUUAGCAAGAAAUUGUGAUUUUGUGCACAAAGUUGUGAUUUAGCAAAAGAAAAAAAAACCUAUAGACAAAACAAAUGUAGGAGGCUUUACUAUAGCCACGUUUUUACCUAUAGCCGUCUUUUAGAAAACGCAGCUAUAGGUGUGAGCCUACAACCGCGUUUCAAACGUAGCCCAAGGCGGGUCUAUAGCCAUGUUUUUACAAUUUUGCCACCCUUAUGUCUCUCUCUACUACUAAGUGUCACGUGGCUGUUUUUUUUUUUUUUUUUUGAAAGGGUAUUUCAUGAUUUUGCUGUUUACUCUUUUUCUUUUGAGCUCCAAUUCACUACAACUUUGGUUUGAAGUUUGAACAACAGAUUCUCUGCCCGGCUGUUGUUAAGCUUUUAGGAUCAAGAAAUAAAGCUGAAUUUGUUAAGAAGACCAAGCACUACCCAUUAAAAAUUCAUAAAAAUGAGAUAGCUCUUAUUCUUAAUUAAAAUGUUAACGGACUUAAACCAUACAAAAGAAAGACAAGAAAAAAAAAAUACAAAGCUAGAACUCCUAAUAAGUUAGUUUGAGUCAUCACGAGAAAGUGAAGAAAAUCAAACAACACAGAUCUAUAUUAAAUUAUGAAAGAAAACAAGAUUAAUUUUAUAGCAAAUUUUAAUGGUCUUGCAAUGCAAAUGGGAGGAGAUUAUCUGCAAAAGCAAAUUAAGGACAAACAAAUUUUAUAGGACAAAAACCUCAUUAAAUAUCAGGCUAAUGAGCAACUGAUUGUUUCAAAAAGGAUAAAAAUGACAAAGUUUAGCUACAAAAUUGUUUAUAGUAUAAGGCUACAACCUUACUCAAUAAAAUAAACAUUACUAUAUAUUUUGAAAAUUUAACUGUUAAGUUGCAAGUUGUUUAUACUCUUAAUAUAAAUGCCAACUUUAGUGUCAAUCGAAUA